GUUGGGUGGCGGGAGCGGGCGGCUGCUCUGAGGGCUGUGUCCUGCUGGGACUGUAUUGCGGCUUGUUUCCUGGGUGGAGGAGCCUGGCUGGUGGCUAUGGGGGUGACUCACGAAGCGGGGCUGUCUCCUCAGGCGUCGCCAGUGGAGCAGGAUCCAUGCGGGGGAAGCCCGGCUGGCUGGAGCCGAAGCGCCCUGGUGUCUCACGGGAACCAGCACCGGGGGUGUCCGGCGGCUCCCAGCGGAACAGAGACUGGGUAUUACAGAACAACAAUAAAAACGGAACCAGCUUCUGAAAGUAGCUGCAUGGAGAAAAUGGUGGUUAGGAAAACUGAAGAUAUGACAGACUUCAUGGAUGACUUAACCCUCAGCUCACCAAAGAAAAGAGAGUCGUCUUUGAGAUCCAAGAGGAGUUGUGAUAGGUCAUCGACAAGGUCAUCUAGCAGAUCCUCUUGCAGUUCACAGUCCAGUUCAAGUAGUUCCUCUUCAGCUUCCUCCAGGAGUUGGAGCCGGUCCAGAUCAAGGUCAUGGGCUAGAAGAAAUGGUUCCCGAAGGUACAGAAGAUACUCUCGUUCGUAUUCCAGAAGCCGGUCGAGAUCACGUGGCUACAUGAGGUACCGAGGAAGGUACCAUGCCAGACACUACAGGAGGUACCACCGCUCUCCUCCAAGAUACAGAUCACGCAGUAGGUCAUGGUCUCGUGGAAGAUCAUACUAUAGGAGGUCCUAUUCGAGAAGCAGAUCACGAUCAAGAGGCCGAAGAUACUAUGGAUUUGGGCGAACAAUAUAUCCUGAGGCUUACAGGAGCUGGAGAAGCAGGUCACGAACAAGAUCUCGGAGUAGGUCACCUCUCCAUUUGAGUGAAAAAGACAAGAGGGAACUCCUGGAAAUUGCGAAAGCUAAUGCUGCAAAAGCUCUGGGAACAGAUAACAUAGUCUUGCCAGCAAGCUUGAAGAUCCUUACUCCUACCAAAGAGAUAAAAAAUGAAAAACAAGAGCAUGAAGAUCCUGGAGAGUCAGCUGAGGUAAGUAUGAACUGGAGUAUUCUCAGUGAAAAGGUAAACACUUCUUAAAACUUGCCAUCUGCAUAGAUGUGUUAUAGUUUUUUAACUGUGGACUUUGUGAUUAUGAAUUCAAACCCUUGAACAUAAACUUCAGAUUUACCAGAACGCUAAAAACUACUACAGAAACCACUGUAGACUUUGUGUUAAGCUGAAAGUACUGUGGAAUCUUAAAGAGGUGGUUGAUCUGCUGAGUACAUGCAGGCUUUCCAGUAGUGAUAGGCUGGGAAGGAGAGGUGAAUGUAGUUUGUUCUUUGGAGUUGUUCUUCUAAUAGAAUAUUGCCCAUUAAUUAGACUAGUUUGUGUUACUGACCUAAAACAAGGAGUCUCCUUACCAAAUCUAGUGAAUAGUGUGGGUUUUUUUAAGGUUAAAUCUUUCUACCCUUUUUAACUGUUAAAAGCUUUUCAUGUGCAACAAACUGUUUCCCAGAAAUUACAUACCCAAGCACACAAUGCAUUUUACAUACUUUAUUUCUGUCUUAUAGAAAUCAUGACUAUGGUUCCAGACAUGAUGAAGAAAAUCUGUUGCAACCCAGAAGACUAGCAGAAGACAUGACCAAGAGUGGAAUGGAGAGAGCGACCAUACAGAG